GGUAUCCAAAAAAUAUCAUUUUCCAGGUAAAUACUCUGCAACAUGAAAUUGCAAUAAAUAUAAUAUGUGGGUCAGGGUGAUAGAAGUUGGAGGGCAAAAAAGACAUUUACAUGUCACUGGUUUUUGAUAGUCAUGUACUCUGAUGUUAACUAAGACAACAUACUGCCUCUCCUCUCUGUGUAUGUUGAAUCAUAUGAAUAAGAUCCCAUGAAAAAUGGCCAAACCUAGAAUAACAUGUCAUUAACAGAUUUAGUUAAAACUAGCCAAAAGGGUAAAUGUGUAAAUUGUACCAAAAUAUAAAAGCCUCUUUUUCGCAAGUGUUCCACUCCCUCAUCGAAUAUUCACUUUUUUAAUGCAUCUGGAUCCGUGACUCAGCCUUCAUAAUCCAAAAAGCUUGACCUCUGAAUAACAAAAGAGCAACUUGCUUAUUCUGUUUACAUUGAAUAUAGACAAUGCACUAUUUUUUUACCAAAAAGAGCAGCGUACUUACAUUUCUUUACCAAUAGAAGCAAUGUAUUUAUACUUUGUUCUUUAUCCAUAAUAGCAGCAUACUUAUAUACUUUUACCUGUAAUAGCAACAUAUUUUUAUUUCCCUACUAAAAUGAGCAAAAUGUACUUUAAUUGGUAAAGAGAUCCAAGUAUGUUGCCAUUUUUAUAAAUUUAACAUCUAGGUGACUACCAAACUUGUUUUGAAACCAUGAAAUAAGUAGCAAAAAUUCAGAAAAGUAUAUGUUACUACUAUAAUAAACAAUCUAAUAGAACAUAAAUACAUUACAAAAAACUAAAACAGUACUGUAGAGGAAUAGGACAUUUCCAUAAAUUUGUUGAUCAACUUCAAAUAUUUUGAAUAUAAAAUGCUAUAAAUGUUAACCAAAAUGAAACAAGUUCAGAUUUUCAAAAUACUUAGAUUUUUAAAACGCAAUGUCUUAAUAGGUAAAUAAUUAAAUGUACAAUGUCUUAAUAGAAAAACAGUAGAAAGUACUAUAAUUGGC
rnacentral:lncRNA from 1 species